UCAAUGUUAUUCACUUUAUGGCUGACUGUUCCCUAGAACCACCCAGAUGGCUCACAUACCGAUUUUUUCUCUUGGACUUAGCUGGGGGGGGGUGGGGAGGUGGGGGGUUGUGGCCAACAGGCUCCCGAAACUGGCCAGUCCACAUUCCUGGCUCUCCACAGAGAUCUUCCAUGCCCUUCCAGUUCCUGCUAACAGCUACGCCCUGCUGAAUUACUGCACCUGCCUCCAGACCGUACAUCAAGAUGCUAAUUUGGCCGACAGAUCCUGGUGGACUGGGGGAGGGGUUUUCCCUGCCUGCUUGAUUCGCAGAUUCAUAAUACACAUCAGACCUUGAUCAGAAA